UCAGGACCAGAUGUGGAGGGAGCCCCAGGAGGGAAGCGCUCAGCCCCAGCGAGGCUGGGAGUGUCCUUGUCGUCUGUAACCGAGUUCCUUGUCAUCCAGCAUCCAGCACGUCUGGGCUAGGGCACCCUUGACUGCACGUGACAGAACCACAUGGGGUGUUGUGUUGUGGUGCUGCUGUCAUGGCGUUGUGGUGUGCUGUGUGGUUGAUGCUGUGUUGUUAUGUUGUGGUGUGGUGUGUGGUGGCGUUUUGAGUUAUAUUGUUGGUGUGGUGAAGUGGUGUGUGGUGUAUAUUGUUGAUGUUGAUGUGUUACAUUGUGGUGUGCUGUGUGGUUGAUGCUGUGUUGUGAUGUCAUGGUGUGGUGUGUGGGGGUGUUUUGAGUUAUGUUGUUGGUGUGGUGAUGUGGUGUGUGGUGUAUAUUGUUGAUGUUGUGUUACAUUGUGGUGUGCUGUGUGGUUGAUGCUGUGUUGUGAUGUCAUGGUGUGGUGUGUGGGGGUGUUUUGAGUUAUGUUGUUGGUGUGGUGAUGUGGUGUGUGGUGUAUAUUGUUGAUGUUGAUGUUGUGUUACGUUGUAGUGUGCUGUGGUGUGUGGUGCUGUUUUGGGGUUUUCAUGGUGUGGUGUGUGGUGUGUAUGGUUGUAUAUGUUCUUGCUGUUGUAUUGUGGUGUUGUGUUAUCUUGUUGAGGCAGUGCUGUUGAUGGUGUGGUGUGCGGUGUUGUUUUGUGUUAUGUUGUGGUGUGGUGCUGGUGUUGUGUGGUUGUAACUGAGGAUGUCUGAGCUCGUCUGGAAGGAGACAGUGGAGCUGCCCAGGCCCAGGGCUGAGGAUGGGCUGUGGCCAGGGUAGGUCCUCAGCUGAGCGAGGUGAGGAGCCCCUGAGUCUGGAUGACCACACCAGAGGCCAGUGUCAUGCACGUGGAGUUCCCAGCCUCCAGAAACAUAAGCAGAAGAAAUGUCUCGUCUUUACAAAUUACCGUCUGUGAUAUUCUGUUAUAGCAGCAGAGAACAGCCUAAGACACUCCAUUUCUACUAACGGGCAUUUGAUGCAACGGUCAUCCUGAAAAUUCAUGGAGAAAGUCUGCUCCAAAACCAAUUUUCUGCUCCAUAACAUCUGCCUUUGGAGAAUCUCAUAUAAAUAAGGAAUGAGGUGCAGAUGUAGAAAGACAGUGGGUUCUGACAGCAUCAUUCUAAAUGGAGAGGGGUGAUAAACGCCCAGUAGAAUUCAAAUAAAAUAUGAACUUCAGAGAAAGGAAAAAAGUGAUGUGACUCUGCACCCUCAGCUGAACAUGGUAGAAAUUAUCCUGUAGAGAAACAGAACAGGGAUAAAAAAAGUCACCUUCCUUAAUUUGCAUGUAUAUUAUAAUUCAUUUCCAGACAUGAAAGUAAGACUGAGAUUUCAGCUGCUGAAUUAUACAUCUUGAUUCUUGCAUACAGAGGACUCAAAACAUUUCCCCCAAAGGCCUAAAUAAUGAUGUUCAGCCUUAUUUUUCCUUCUACACACCUCACACACAAACAAGGAUGGGCCAUCCUUUCUGGAACUCUAUCCCCAGGACAUGUGGUGAAUGUCACAGAUAAAGAACCAGGCUGAAUAGCCAAAGGCGUCCAAAAGCGCAGGCUUGUGACUUGAUUGUGCAGCCGUUGGGAAGGACAGAGCCAGGAUGGCCGACAGCACCGUUCCCUCUGGGCAGCACCACCAGCAGGGACCACUGUCACCAUCUUCACUGGAGACAGAGAUCGAGGCUCUGCAUGGCGACUCCAAGGAGCACAGAAUGGAAAAAGGAGAAGUCACUUUACAGUGGAGAAACCUGGCAACCAGGCUCAGCCAGGAAUCAAGGUCAACGUCAGCCAUGAUGUCCGAUGCAUAACAGGGGCCCUCAAUAUGCCGUGAGAGACAGCCACCUUACCUCUGUACACCCCAGGCUAAUCAGGAGCAAAGCACUGGACAAAUCCCAACAAAGCGACCAUGCACGGAACACCUGGCCAGUCCUCCUCACAACUGUCAAGGUCAAUAAAGCAAGGAAAGCCUGGGAAACGGUCACAGCCAAGAGCAACCCAAGGAGACACGAUGACUGAAUGUCACCUGGGAUCCCGGGUGGGAGCCUGGGAGAGUAAAAGGCCGUUGGAGCAACGAAUAAAGUGUGACUGAAGCGUGGACAUGGGUUAAGAGUGAUGCAUCCGUGCGAACUCAUUAACUGUGACGAAUGUACCGUGGUAAUGAAAGAGGUUAGUGACAGGGAAACGGGACAGGAGCUGGGAGGACUCUGUACAGUCUUCACACCUUCUCAGAAAACCUAAAGCCAUGCUAAACUGGAAAAGUUUAUUUUAAAACAUAGGAAACGGUGGGUGUUGAGGUUGCAGAAUCAGAGAUGAAGAGCUGUAACCCUAAAACUUUAUUUCCCAGCUGAAAUUGGAUGUUUUACAAAAGAGGACGCUGGGGCUGGUACGGCUGGCCUUUUCCCACCCUGGCCAAAGUGCUUUCACCCCAGGACAACGUCUGUGUGCACUGAGCUCUAGGGUCUUUUUGGUGUUUUAGUUUUUUGCUUUUAUGUCCCCAAAAUAAGACAUGUCUGUGGUUUAAAAGUGUAGAGUAUAAAAUACACAGUGGGGAGGAAAAGAAGUUUCUUCUUUGUUAUUUUGGCCACAAUGUCUCUGUGUUAGCCCUCAAAGGCAGCCGUGGUCACCUGCUCUAAAAGGUCUUUCCAAAGAUAGUCUCUGCUGGGCAGGGUGGCGUGUGCCUGUAAUCCCUGCGUCUUGGAAGGCCAAGGUAGGAGGAUCGCUUGAGCCCAGGAGGUCAAGGCUGCAGUGAGUCAUGAUCGUACCACUGCACUCCAGCCUGGGAGACAGAGCUAGACUCUGUCUCAAAAAAUAAAAAUAAAAAACUCAAAGAUAGUCCAUACAGGAACAAGUGCACACACAUGCAAACAUACAGACAUGCAUAUGCACAUAUAUGCACACACACACACAUGCACACAUACAGAAAAAUGGUAGCACACUUUUUUAUAUAGCAUGAUUCUUCCAAGUUGGGACCUUACAGAACCCUCAUUAUUUUUAAUGGCUUCAGCCUGUGCUACUGUAUAGGGGCCUCAUAAUUUAUUUAAGCUAUUCGCUAUCAACAGACAUUUAUCUUAGUCUUUUGUUACAAAUCACACUGUAAUGAAUAUCUUUGUUCAGACAUCCUUGCCCACAUUACAGCAUUAUUUUUAAUGUCUGUUUGAUAUGCGAUGAGAAUGAUGUACAAUAACUCAUAUAAUGCAUCCUCUAUUUUAAACGUCUAGAUUGUCUCCAAUGUUUUCCACCAUUACAAACAAUGCUGUUACAAUAUAA
rnacentral:lncRNA from 10 species